GUGGGAAGAUUAUUAAAUAAGUAAAACGGUUUUGCUGAGCUUAAAGGGAUGGUUACAAGUUUGUUAGAGAGAACAAUCUGGCAUUUACGUGUGCCCAUCAUGUAUAUAUACAAAAUAUAUCAGAUCAAUAAUAACAGUUUUCAGAUUCUUCUCCAUAUAUUUUUUCUUCCUCUGUUUACUGUUACAUGGUAUCAGAGCGUGUUUUUCCUGUGUAGAUGACGGUUUUCCUUUAGCCACACUGCAGACUAAAUUCAAUCAAACUGAUCAAAGAGGCAGUUUCUUUCUAAAAUUUCCUUGUUCUUGAUGAUAUGGAAUCUGAUAACGUCAGCGAAGUAAGGGAUGCGGCUGAUCAGUACAUCAAUGAAGCAUUGAAGUUGCAGAAUUCUGAUAAUCCAGGUCUA
rnacentral:misc_RNA from 1 species